rnacentral:misc_RNA from 1 species
AUCUUGUUGAGUUCGAAGGAGUCCAUUUUCGAUCAGGCCCCGAGCCGGAAAGUCGAUACGUUUAGCCGCGCAGCGCGACCUUGGAUUGCUACCGGGAACAGGCGUGCAGCGCAAUACAGGCAGCGGGAUCGAGAUAACGGUUUGCCUGCCUUCUGGCAACCCGUAUAAACGCGCCGACCCCUUGAAAACACCGUCAUUUCCUCGCCAAUCCGGCCGUCCCGAGCCCCGCGUCCCCCAUGACAGAAACCCGCGCCCUGG